rnacentral:rRNA from 1 species
GACGAACGCUGGCGGCGUGCUUAACACAUGCAAGUCGAACGGGCCCGCUCUCUUUUUUGGGGGUGGGUUGAGUGGCGACCGGGUGAGUAUCACGUGAGUAACCUGCCCCCUGCUCCUGGAUAACUGCUUGAAAGGGCGGCUAAUACGGGGUGUGCCGGCUGGUCCGCAUGGGCCUGGUCGGGAUAGUUUCAUCUUCGGGUGUUUCGGUGGGGGAUGGGCUCGCGGCCUAUCAGCUUGUUGGUGGGGUGAUGGCCCACCAAGGCGGUGACGGGUAGCCGGCCUGAGAGGGUGGGCGGCCACACUGGGACUGAGACACGGCCCAGACUCCUGCGGGAGGCAGCAGUGGGGGGUAUUGCACAAUGGGCGGAAGCCGGAUGCAGCGACGUCGCGUGAGGGAUGGAGGCCUUCGGGUGGUGAACCUCUUUCUCCGGUGGUGAAGGCCCUGUCCGUUGCGGCGGGGUUGACGGUAGCCGGGUAUGAAGCGCCGGCUAACUACGUG